rnacentral:rRNA from 1 species
UACGUAGGGUGCGAGCGUUAAUCGGAAUUACUGGGCGUAAAGCGUGCGCAGGCGGCUUGCCAAGUCAGAUGUGAAAGCCCCGGGCUUAACCUGGGAAUGGCCGUCGAAACUGGCGAACUGGAGUGUGGCAGAGGGGGGUGGAAUUCCGCGUGUAGCAGUGAAAUGCGUAGAGAUGCGGAGGAACACCGAUGGCGAAGGCAGCCCCCUGGGCUGACACUGACGCUCAGGCACGAAAGCGUGGGGAGCAAACAGG